AGUGAACGCUGGCGGUAGGCCUAACACAUGCAAGUCGAACGGCAGCACAGUAAGAGCUUGCUCUUACGGGUGGCGAGUGGCGGACGGGUGAGGAAUACAUCGGAAUCUACUUUUUCGUGGGGGAUAACGUAGGGAAACUUACGCUAAUACCGCAUACGACCUACGGGUGAAAGCAGGGGAUCUUCGGACCUUGCGCGAUUGAAUGAGCCGAUGUCGGAUUAGCUAGUUGGCGGGGUAAAGGCCCACCAAGGCGACGAUCCGUAGCUGGUCUGAGAGGAUGAUCAGCCACACUGGAACUGAGACACGGUCCAGACUCAGACGGGAGGCAGCAGUGGGGAAUAUUGGACAAUGGGCGCAAGCCUGAUCCAGCCAUACCGCGUGGGUGAAGAAGGCCUUCGGGUUGUAAAGCCCUUUUGUUGGGAAAGAAAAGCAGCAGGUUAAUACCCCGCUGUUCUGACGGUACCCAAAGAAUAAGCACCGGCUAACUUCGUG
rnacentral:rRNA from 1 species